UGGGCGAGUCAAAAGUUCAGUGAAGUUAGGAGGAUGCGUAGGGCCAGUGAUAGGGCCGGUAUGAAUAGGAUUAUGUUUAUUACUCUUCUGUGGGUUCAAACCAGAUUCUAAGGAUUGGAAGUCGAUUGUAAUUAAUAUACUAGAAGAGUAAGAUCCUCAUCAGUACAUAGCGAUGUAGAGGAACAAUCAUACGGGCCAGGCUGGACACUGGGCGGGAGCAGCCUGGGCGGUGGAAGGCGGAGCAGGGGCAGCACGAGGGGAGCUGUGACGCCCUGCCNNNNNNNNNNGACGAGCGCACGGAGCUGCUGCACAGAGCCAGCGCCCUGCGCAGCGACAACGACCGCCAGGCCGGCCUCAUCCGCCACAUCCGAGAUAAAUUGCAAAAAGAACAAGAGCAGAAAGUAACACUGGAGGCAACAAUCAGCCAUUUGCAGAACUUGAUCCACAACCAGAACAACCAACAGAAGAGCCAGGAGGUGACGGUGCAAAGGACAGACCAGGUUUUCACCACACAGACCCCACCUCUCACUCCUGCCAAGGAAAAACAAAACGCUCUGUCAGAGCACCCCGAGGAGGAGGAGGGAACAGAAAGUCUGAAGGAUGAGAUGCAGAAAACGACAUCCCAGCUCACAGCAAAGGAGAACGAGGUACCCGAGGAUGCUCAGCAGAGCCGUGCCCAGCUGCGGGUGAAGCGCUGCAGCCACUGCAGCAGCCCGGCUGCUCUGGGGACACACAGAGCCCAGGGGACCCCUCCUGCUGAGAGCCCCUCGCUGUGCCCGCAGUGCGCGGAGCUGCGCUCGGAGCUGGAGGCGCUGAGCCAGGAGUACCAGUGGUGCCUGACCCGG
rnacentral:lncRNA from 1 species